rnacentral:rRNA from 1 species
UACGUAGGGUGCGAGCGUUGUCCGGAAUUAUUGGGCGUAAAGGGCUCGUAGGCGGUCUGUCACGUCGAAAGUGAAAACUCAGGGCUUAACCCUGAGCCUGCUUCCGAUACGGGCAGACUAGAGGUAUGCAGGGGAGAACGGAAUUCCUGGUGUAGCGGUGAAAUGCGCAGAUAUCAGGAGGAACAGCCGGUGGCGAAGGCGGGUCUCUGGGCCGUUACUGACGCUGAGGAGCGAAAGCGUGGGGGAGCGAACAGGAUUAGAUACCCCGAGUCA